UGAAAGGGGAGGACACAUUAGCAAUCUGCUUUCAUUGGUUAAAUGCAUGACAAAAACUAAACCCCAGAGGUAAAUCCUACGUUUGAGUAUUGCCUGACCGGGGAGCACCCAUACUGAAGGAUCUGCCUAAUGCUGACGGGUUCCUCGUCAGAAGCUGUCCCAGGUGCAGGGAACAAGCACUAAUCUGCUAUUCUAUACCAGAGAGAAUUACCUGCUGCCUUGAUUUUCUCUCCCCAAGCAAAGACACCAGCAAAAGCCUCACUGCAGAGUAACAGGAGGAACCUUUACAGUGACUGCUCCGAGGGCUGCUGUCCAUUCAGCAUCCGCCAUGUGACUGGAAGGCCCUUUGUCAUUCAGAUCUCCUAAGCCCUGUAUGCCAGCGUGAUGUUAUUGACGUGAACUGGGACCGUACAGAUCCUGGUUGCAACCAAAGUCCUGUAGUGGCACCAAAUCUUGUAUAAAGGGGGUCAAACAGGGUAUCUAAGACAAGGUUCUGGGUUGCUGGUUAUGCUGCUGCUGCCUCUGUG